CACCGCCCGUCACACCAUGGGAGUUGGUCAUACCUGAAGACGGUGUUCUAACCUAGCAAUAGGAGGAAGCCGGCCACGGUGUGGUCAGCGACUGGGGUG
rnacentral:rRNA from 1 species